AACGAUCCAAGCAUUUACUUCGGCCUAAGUAAUGCGGUUAAUAUUUAAUAUCCUAACUAUUUGUGCAAUUUUUGUGCAGCAUGCCUUGUCAAACUAUGGAGAAAACAACAGGAUAAUUCUUUUUAAACCAAAAAUAUUAAAGGCAAUGAUCAAGGAAUGCUUUUUAAGAGGAGAAGGAUACGAAAGAAUUGCAAUGGUACUGCUGAAAAUUUAUAAACGCAUGAAUGAACCAAAAUCAGAGGAUAACGAAUCAAAUUGGAUGAAAACCAUGAGAUUUCGACGUUGAUAAUUUUUCUUCCCGUGAGAAAUUUUGCACAGAAUGUUUUUUGUUACAUUUAAUGUAAGUGACAAGUUCUAUGUACAAAAGUGUUUAAUGCUACAAAAAUUAAAUUAAAUGUUUAAUGUCUUUUGA